GUCAGUGUGAAAAUCAGUGCAUAAAAUGAAAUUUGCUGAUAUUAACUGAUCCCAAUAUCUAUAAGAACCCUGUUUGUGGUGGCCUGGGUGGUGGAGCAAAGUCUGCUUGUAAUCCUGGAGUUCUUUGUUUGUAAGCCAUUUUCUUUUACUUAUUAUUUUUUUUUAAAUAAGGCAAUACAUGACAUAGAUAUUGGACUCCUCAUUCAGAUUAAUGGGGGCAUUUAUGAUAAGACUCAGUAUCUCCCCAUCCUCAGGCGAAGGAGACUGCUAUCAACUGAAAAAGCUUGAACUACCAUAGCAGAUGGGACCUUAGCAAAGAAAGACAACACCAGGCAACCUUGGCUGGGAUGAGCAUACAACAAAAAGAAAAAUAGCAGUACUUGUUCUGAGGCACCAGACCAUAAUUUUCAUGGUUGAACCAGCGAUUCAUCUGUUGUUCCAUCAUCCACUUGACGACUGUGCGGGGCAGGACAUUUCGGAGCAUGGAGCUAAACCUGGUGUGGAACACCAUGUCCCAAGGGUAGCCAUCUUCAGAGAUUCGGCUCAAGACCCAGGAACCAUGUCUGGUGCUGAUAAACACCUGGAUUCUCAUUGGCCUGGAGCUCACCAAUUAGGUUAGGUCAAGGUUCAGGGUGCCAUCUCUCAGAAUGAAUGUCAGCUGAAAACCAUCCUCUCAAAUCUUUUCUC